GCUGCUGUAGCUCAGUGGUAGAGCACUCCCUUGGUAAGGGAGAGGUCGGUGGUUCAAUCCCACUCAGCAGCA
rnacentral:tRNA from 1 species